GCCGGGGCUUCUUCUCCGGCUACCGUCAUUAUCUUCACCGGUGAAAGGACUUUACAACCCUAAGGCCUUCAUCGUCCACGCGGCAUGGCUGGAUCAGGGUUGCCCCCAUUGUCCAAGAUUCCCC
rnacentral:rRNA from 1 species